rnacentral:tRNA from 1 species
AGCUAAUUAUCUUAAAAUAAAGUCUGUAUUUUGAAAAUACAUUAUGGAAAUUCAAAAAUCCAUUAGCUU